AUUGAACGCUGGCGGCAUGCCUAACACAUGCAAGUCGAACGGCAGCACGGCAGUAGCAAUACUGUGGGUGGCGAGUGGCGGACGGGUGAGGAAUACGUCGGAAUCUGCCCAGUCGUGGGGGAUAACUAGCCGAAAGGUUAGCUAAUACCGCAUACGACCGAGAGGUGAAAGCGGGGGGACCGCAAGGCCUCGCGCGAUUGGAUGAGCCGACGUCGGAUUAGCUAGUUGGUGGGGUAAAGGCCACCAAGGCGACGAUCCGUAGCUGGUCUGAGAGGAUGAUCAGCCACACUGGAACUGAGACACGGUCCAGACUCCUACGGGAGGCAGCAGUGGGGAAUAUUGGACAAUGGGCGCAAGCCUGAUCCAGCAAUGCCGCGUGUGUGAAGAAGGCC
rnacentral:rRNA from 1 species